GAACAUAUAUUUGCACCCGUUAACCGAGACCUAUGGGUGGAUAAAUUACGUCUCUCAUAUCCAUCAGUGAAGGGAUUGAUGGAAAUAUAGUAUCGC
rnacentral:ncRNA from 1 species